UACGGAGGGGGCUAGCGUUAUUCGGAAUUACUGGGCGUAAAGCGCGCGCAGGUGGCGCAGUAAGUGGCUGGUGAAAGCCCUCGGCUCAACCGAGGAACUGCCUGCCAAACUGCUGCGCUUGAGGCCGGGAGGGGGAAGCGGAAUUCCUGGUGUAGCGGUGAUAUGCGUAGAUACCAGGAGGAACACCGGUGGCGAAGGCGGCUUCCUGGACCGGUUCUGACACUCAUGCGCGAACGCUUGGGGCGCAAACAGG
rnacentral:rRNA from 1 species